rnacentral:lncRNA from 1 species
GCCGGCUCCGCGGCGGAGGGGCGGCGCCCCGACCCAGGGCCAGCACCGUGGGCACCGCCAGGCCGGCGCGUAUGGAGGCGGUGGGACGCCUGCGGCGCGGGUGAGCCUGGCAGAUGCUGUGUGCUGUGGACCCACCUGGGGUUCAUGGAGUGGGCCACGGGGCCCAGCCCUAAGCACUGCUGCGCCCAGGGUCGCCGCGCCUCCUGCUGAGGGGUCCCCGUGCCACUGGCUCUCACCAUUGCCCUCGCCUGCCGAUGGCCUCUGCUGCCCAGCCUGGGGCCAGCUCUACCGCCUGAGCCCCCUGCCCCACUCCAGGACUCACCGUACCCCGAUGGGGUAACGUGACACAGGCCCCACACGUCAGAGGCCGCUGUCCCCACGGCCACUGCCCGUGACCCCUGGCCCAAGGCAGCUGGAGUUGGUUCAGUUCAAGUUCAUUCUUCCUCUGGCCCUUGGGGGCUUGGGGCCCACCUCUGAGUGAAGGGGGCUGUCUGCCCAUCCACCAAUGUGGAGAGGGCGCCCCCGGUGUGGGGUCCAGCUCUGGACACUGCUUGGCGGCCGGGUUCACUUUGAGUUUUUAAGUUUUCUUUGCUGAGCUUUUUUGGUUGUUCUUUUUAUUUUUUGCCUCUUUAUGACUAUCCAGCUCUGAGAGACGGGAGUUUGGAGUUGCCCGCUUUACUUUGGUUGGGUUGGGGGGGGCGGCGGGCUGUUUUGUUCCUUUUCUUUUUUAAGAGUUGGGUUUUCUUUUUUAAUUAUCCAAACAGUGGGCAGCUUCCUCCCCCACACCCAAGUAUUUGCACAAUAUUUGUGCGGGGUAUGGGGGUGGGUUUUUAAAUCUCGUUUCUCUUGGACAAGCACAGGGAUCUCGUUCUCCUCAUUUUUUGGGGGUGUGUGGGGACUUCUCAGGUCGUGUCCCCAGCCUUCUCUGCAGUCCCUUCUGCCCUGCCGGGCCCGUCGGGAGGCGCCAUGGCUCGGAUGAACCGCCCGGCCCCGGUGGAGGUGAG